ACAAGCUGAGUAGCUAGCCUAUGUCGUCUUCAUCGGUGCUUCUGUUCGCUGUCCAGCCUAACAGUAACAGCCGAGCGUUUGGGUAUCGUUACCUAGAUACUGAACAGUGUUUUUCGGUCCCUUCUGGUUAGAUUUGUGUGUGCACGCUUCGGGUGCAGUUGUAUGUCUCAAGAUGACGUUGGAUGAAGCUAAAGCUGCGUAUUCAGCCGGCGAUGACUAUCGUGUCAUAAAGGAAUUUCAAUCCGCCUACCGGUGUGCCGUCCAUCUUUAUGACUCAGCCGGCGGACUCGUUGACGGAGCACGUGCGCUUCAUUGCUUGGGAUAUUGUUUAUGUGAGCAAAAGAAUUACACAGAAGCAGUGAAGGUCCUAAAUGAAGCUUUAGAUAUCGAAAGAACCCUUCCCUCUCAACAUGAAUCAUCUCUUGCUGUCACUCUUAAACAACUUGGACAAUGUUUGACUUACCAACGAAAAUAUGAAGAUGCAGUGAGGGUUUGCAAGAAGCCCUGAGCUUGAUCGUGCUUUGGGUCCGAAGAACUUAGCUAAUACUGCAAUGUCUUUACAAAUGUUGGCAAGCAUCUGAUCAGGAAAGGCAGUCCUGAUGAAGCUGAAGUACUACUUAGAGAAUCUUUAAGUAUCUACAGGACUGCCUUUCCUGGCAACAAUUCCAUCAUUGCUGACAUCUUGAGUUGGGUGGCAAGAAGUUUGGAGGACCAUCAAGACUACCGUGAUGCCAUUAACAUUUACGAAGAGCAACUUGAAAUCAAGAAACGUUUAGGGCCUGAUUGUGAAGCCUUUACUGCAGCAACAGCAGUAAAGUAUCAAGAGCAGUUGCAUACACAUUGAAAUGACUACAUUGGAUGUCCUGUUCAGGAUUAGUAGACUAUGAUGAACGCAAGUCUUGAUCAGUACGAACAGCAAAAUUCAAGGCAGUAAAUGAUCUAGUGAACUACUGUGUAUAUGUCUUAUGAUAGCUAAGGAACGUUUGUGAGGCUGCUAGUUGCAGUAAUGUACUUAGUAUGCAUAUGCUAGUCUUAUCCUAAGUGUAACUAUUGUGUUCAUAUAUUAUAGUAUAGUAGACUAUU